rnacentral:tmRNA from 2 species
GGGGGUGUUCCGGAAUUCGAUUGCGAGUGGAAGUGACAGGUAGCAAGUCGUGGGUGAUGAUCGUGGCCACGUAAAAACGACCAUCAAAAAAGUUAGCUGCAAACAACGCAGACUACACUCCCGCCAGCGCAGCUCUCGCUGCCUGAUUGAUGCGGGCGCGCUCAGCCAGGUUGGCCUAGGACGUGGUUGAGGGUGUGAUCCAAUCCGGGCUCAGUUGACGUGGUCCGCCACCAUUUCAAUGAAACCUCAGGCGGUGUUCCGGAGUGAGGAGGUCGGAUGCCAAAACCUCCGGAGAAAACUUAUAACUUCCGACUAAACUUGUAGAAGCCUGCAUGAAAACUCCGCAGGACGCGGGUUCGACUCCCGCCACCUCCACCA